AAAAGAAGUAGUAAUAACUGGGAAAAUCACAGUUGGGGAGAAAAAUGAAGAAACAACAGGAACAGUUAUUGGCAGAAUAACUGGAGGAGGAACCAUAGAUGGGAUGAGCAUCAGACCAAUAGACGGAAUUGGGAUAAUUGGAGGAAUAAAGAAGGGAAUAGAGAAUACGGGACUUAAAGAGACAGACUUGGAGAUUGGAGGCAGACAUGAAAGAGCUUAGGGAACAGAUGAGAGAGGAGGGAAAGACUGAUUGUGGGGUCCCAG